AGCAGCCGCGGUAAUUCCAGCUCCAAUAGCGUAUAUUAAAGUUGUUGCAGUUAAAAAGCUCGUAGUUGAAUUUCGGGACCAAUUUGUUGGUCGUGCCUCGGUACGUACUGGUAUUAUUGGUUUCUCCCUUCUGAAGAACCAUGAUGCCAUUAAUUUGGUGUCGUGGGGAAUCAGGACUGUUACUUUGAAAAAAUUAGAGUGUUUAAAGCAGGCAUACGCUUGAAUACAUUAGCAUGGAAUAAUGAAAUAGGACGUUUGAUUCUAUUUUGUUGGUUUCUAGGAUCGACGUAAUGAUUAAUAGGGAUAGUUGGGGGCAUUAGUAUUCAAUUGUCAGAGGUGAAAUUCUUGGAUUUAUUGAAGACUAACUACUGCGAAAGCAUUUGCCAAGGAUGUUUUCAUUAAUCAAGAACGAAAGUUAGGGGAUCGAAGACGAUCAGAUACCGUCGUAGUCUUAACCAUAAACUAUGCCGACUAGGAUCGGAUGAUGUUAAUUUUUAAUGACUCAUUCGGCGCCU
rnacentral:rRNA from 1 species